rnacentral:tRNA from 1 species
GGCCCCAUGGUCCAUGGGUUAGGAUCGCCGCCCUUCAAGCGGCGGGACGGAGUUCGAAUCUCCGUGGGGCCA